rnacentral:lncRNA from 10 species
AGUGGGCUUAAUAUGUGGUGCAACUUGCGCUUCCCUGUAGAAUCAAACCAAAACUAGUCUUCAGCCGUGACCACACUCUUGUUUAAGUUUCCUAUUCCUGUCCUGUCCUGCUGCCUUCACUCCUCUUAUCCUGGGAGCACUUUCCCAAUCAAGCAUAAGAAUCUUCAUCUCAGUCCUCACUGCUUAGGAAACCAAUUUAAGACAACUGGCAUUGGAGAUGGAUUCUAGGGUUAAUUCACUUGCUGGCUGGAUGGCAAUGAGGACCCCACUGGUGGAGUAAGAAGUCCUGUAGUAGAGAAGAUUAAGUGGAAACCCCUGAAACUUCACACCACCUGUCCCCUUUCUGCCCACACCAAGACUAAAAAUAUUUUAUCACAAAAGAAUGGCAGAGAUU